CAGGGCUGGGCACACAGCAGGUGUGCCCAGGAAUUAAUCAUUUCCAGACGCUGGCGCAGCACCUGGUGCCCAAAGCCAUAGGCCUGGGAGCUGUGCAGGUCUUGCAGGCAGACGACACCACUUAGUGGACGCGAUUUCUUCCCUGGUCCCACUGCCUGGUGCGUGCAGAGAAACUACUCCCAAGUGGGAAGUGAGUGGCUUGUUGAGGCUUGGGACAAAGCUCAGGGGUGUCCCAGGUGAACCCCCUUCUCUAAAACAAGCAGGUCCCUCCCUGCUCCGACACUGAAAUGACAUCACAGGGCACUGAGGACGUGGGGCCCGUCCCCGGCUGCUGCAGUGCAGUGCCACCUGCAGGCCGUGUGGCCUGAGCAGGCUGUGUCAUCUCCAGGCCUGCAGUCUCUCGUCUGUAGGAAGAGGAUGAUCAGUAGCCCAGCCUUGGAGGAGCCAUGCUCACCCCGAACGCUUCCACCAGCUGAGGCUGCAUGGUUUCAACAAGAGGAAUUUGUUUCUCAUAGUUCUGGAGGCUGGAAUUCCAAGAUCAAGCAGGGCCUAUGACCAUGUCUGAUGUUCAGGGAAUGAAGGAGUGAAGAAAGCAGGAAUGAACGAAGGAAGGAAGCAGCUCCAGCAAUUGGUUCCCAGGCAAGAAGCUGGUGGGGUUCUGACUUCUAUCCCGAUUCACACCCUUUCCUCCUGCCCUCAGGGCAGUCCUUCUCCUGCUCUUGUUCAUUCAUCCCCUUCAGCCCUUUCUUAUUCUCUUCUGUAGCCGAACCACAAAAAAUAAAUACAUUAGAAAUGUUUUCC
rnacentral:lncRNA from 1 species